rnacentral:rRNA from 1 species
GAUGAACGCUAGCGGCAGGCCUAAUACAUGCAAGUCGAACGGUGUCUUCGGACAUAGUGGCGCACGGGUGCGUAACACGUAUGCAACCUACCUUACAUUGGGGGAUAGCCUUUCGAAAGGGAGAUUAAUACCGCAUAAGACAGUAGCUGGGCAUCCAGCAGCUGUUAAAGAUUUAUCGAUGUAAGCUGGGCAUGCGUCCAAUUAGCUAGUUGGUGAGGUAACGGCUCACCAAGGCAAUGAUUGGUAGGGGAACUGAGAGGUCAAUCCCCCACACCGGCACUGGGAAACGGGCCAGACUCCUACGGGAGGCAGCAGUAGGGAAUAUUGGGCAAUGGACGCAAGUCUGAACCAGCCAUGCCGCGUGCAGGAUGAAGGCGUUAUGCGUUGUAAACUGCUUUUAUACAGGAAGAAACGACUCUUGCGAGAGGCAUUGACGGUACUGUAUGAAUAAGCACCGGCUAACUCCGUGCCAGCAGCCGCAGUAAAAC